GAUAGCUCAGCUGGUUAGAGUGGGGUGCUGUUAAUGCCAAGGUUGCAGGUUUGAUCCCAGCUACA